UACGGGGGGGGCAAGCGUUGUUCGGAAUUACUGGGCGUAAAGGGCUCGUAGGCGGCCUUCUAAGUCAGACGUGAAAUCCCCCGGCUUAACCUGGGAACUGCGUCUGAUACUGGGAGGCUAGAGUAUGGGAGAGGGAUGUAGAAUUCCAGGUGUAGCGGUGAAAUGCGUAGAUAUCUGGAGGAACACCGGUGGCGAAGGCGGCAUCCUGGACCGGUAUUGACGCUGAGGAGCGAAAGCCAGGGGAGCAAAGCGGG
rnacentral:rRNA from 1 species